rnacentral:rRNA from 1 species
UACGUAGGGUGCGAGCGUUGUCCGGAAUUAUUGGGCGUAAAGGGCUCGUAGGCGGUCUGUUGCGUCGGGAGUGAAAAACUCAGGGCUUAACCCUGAGCCUGCUUCCGAUACGGGCAGACUAGAGUGCUGUAGGGGAGACUGGAAUUCCUGGUGUAGCGGUGAAAUGCGCAGAUAUCAGGAGGAACACCGGUGGCGAAGGCGGGUCUCUGGGCAGUAACUGACGCUGAGGAGCGAAAGCGUGGGGAGCGAACAGG